UACGAAGGGGGCUAGCGUUGUUCGGAAUUACUGGGCGUAAAGCGCACGUAGGCGGACAUUUAAGUCAGGGGUGAAAUCCCGGGGCUCAACCCCGGAACUGCCUUUGAUACUGGGUGUCUAGAGUCCGGAAGAGGUGAGUGGAAUUCCGAGUGUAGAGGUGAAAUUCGUAGAUAUUCGGAGGAACACCAGUGGCGAAGGCGGCUCACUGGUCCGGUACUGACGCUGAGGUGCGAAAGCGUGGGGAGCAAACAGGAUUAGAUACCCCCGUAGUCC
rnacentral:rRNA from 1 species